AUUUAUUCUUGCAGGGGGUCAAUGCUAUUGGUAGAAAGGUAUGCAUACUGCAGUCACACUGAUGACUGACAGCCAGUAAGGAGGCCAUUGUGAUAGCCAAGGAAAAGAAGGCUGCAUUUUUGAGCUAAGGUUAUAGCAAGUCAGACAGAAGACACAUUUUUGAUAGAACCUCUAAUGCUUAGUGGUUGGUGACACUGGUGACAGCCAUGAGUGGGGGACACCAGGAAAUAACUUUGAGGAAGACACUGAACCGGACAUGAAAAUGACUUGUCUUUUGUUUGCCUAAUCCCAAAGUUGGGACUUCUGUUUGAGUCUAAUGACUUACAUGGGAAUUUAGACUCAUAGGAAUCACCAUGUUCAAUGAGAGGUUGAACGCUACUGACAUGGCUUGUUAGCAGGUUAAGAAAAGUAAGUCACUCAGGCCCUUGCUUAAAUGUCUCCUGAUCAGAUACAGAAGAGCAACCUUGUCACUGGCUAGUCCAUCCCGAUCCCUUACGCAGCUUUGUUUAUCAUCAUCACACAUUACUACCCAACGUAACAGCUAUUUACUUGACUAUCUCCUGUCUCCGCACACCAGAAAGUCAACUUCAGAGAAAUGCAGACUACUUUCUUCUCUGUUGCAUUCCAGAUCCUGGAACAAAGCAUAGCAGGGAGUAGCCAAAGAGAAAUAUUUGUUGGAUGUUGAACGAAUAUUUGCCGUGCAGUGACUUAGUUUUUAUGUCACAGACUGAAGCAGUGAAGAAGUGUACGAGCGUAAAUCAAUCUCUCAUGGCUUCAGUGAGUGGUGCUUCACCACCUGCCUGGAAUUGGGUGAUGCGCUGAGUCCCUGAUACCCGUCCCUUCAUCAUUCGUCUCCCCUGCCCCCUCAAACUGCAUUUCAGCUGCGCAUGUCAGGGAUGACAUCAGCAAGCCAUCCUGCAAACACAGGGGUAAGGACUGAAGUUCCAAUAAAACACAAGUUCAAAAUGGCGGCCUGGUCAUUGCGAUAGCCAAGCUUGACGGUGCAAAAGGGGAUCAUAUUGCAGACGACUUCGAAAAAGGUGAACCUUUCACACAGCGCCACCAGAAGCAAACAGAUUCCAACCUGAAUUUUUCUCACAGAGUGUGAUGAAGAGAAAUCUCCGGGAUUUUAAUCAUAAGUGGAAUGACUCAAGACUGGACAUGGUGGACGCUGAGUGAGAUAGCAGUGCGCCGAAGGGGAUUCCCCACGUGGCCCCAAUGGAGAACUCAGGGCCACCCCGGUUUUUACCCUUCAGGAAGUAUGCCUAGUUUUCCUUCUCUAAAGGACUCAAUUUCCAAUCAGUUUUGGUUUAAAUUUGCCCCAUUUGGUUUCUGCAGCUUCCAAGAAGCCUCAGUGAUACUUUGUUGUUGUUACCCCAGAGGCAAGGGAAAGCUGGUCACCAGCCGUGUAGCCAGGACCUGGCAAAGGACUCCGGCAGUGUGAUUUCACAAGCAGGGUGGCGCCACCUCCUCCCAGGGCCGGAUGAUAACUGCGUUUCAAUUCUUUGGUUCCUCUCUGCAUCCUUGCCCAAGAACAGGCCACUGGUGGUGGGAACCUGGGGCUUGGGGGUAGUUACGUCAUGGAGGGCAACAAUGUUUGCUAAAUAGAUUUGAAACAAUAGGAAAUCACCUCUUUCUUUUCAAAUAUUUCUCAAUACUCAGAAUGGGCUCAAAACACAAGUACAUACCAACUCCCGUUGAGAAUAACACUUGGCAGGGAAUACUGAAUACCAUCUUGGUUAACACACUUGAGCCCUUAAGUGGGAAAUUAUGCAUACUUUAGUUUUAUGCAACCCUACCCUGUCCCCCACAGCCUCAGGCUUGUUCUCCAUCCCUGUCCCUCCCCAUUCUUGCCGCCCUUAAUAAAGUGAUAUUUGUCCUCCGUUACAGAAGCAAUGUAUGCUCAUUAGAUCCAAUUUGGAAACUGUCUAAAAAUAGAAGAAGAAAACAAACAGUGUAUGUUUUUGAAGCAUUUCUUUUGAUGUUUCCCCUUGAUGGCUACUUUUUAUUAGUAGGCUGUAAAUAUUUAAAUUGUAUAAUUGUAUACAAUUACUGUAUAAUACGUUUUCUACCCCCUUUUGUAGGUAACGUUAUAAGCACUUUAACAUACCAUUGUGAAGUCUUUGUAAACAUGAAUUUUUAUGGUUGCAUUAAUAGAUAGAUGCUUGGUUCACUUAACUCUUCUUCCAUUUUGGGUUCAUUACAUUUGUCUCAGAUCAGUUAUAAGCCAGUCUUUCUUUAACUUUGGACCAUGAACCCACA